AGAGUUUGAUUAUGGCUCAGGACGAACGCUGGCGGCGUGCCUAACACAUGCAAGUCGAGCGAGAAUUUCACAGCGGAAUCCUUCGGGAGGAAGCAGUGGAAGGAAAGCGGCGGACGGGUGAGUAACGCGUGAGUAACUUGCCUUCAGGAGGGGGAUAACAUUCCGAAAGGAAUGCUAAUACCGCAUGACAUUGUAUUUCCGCAUGGAAUAACAAUCAAAGAUUUAUCGCCUGAAGAUGGACUCGCGUCUGAUUAGAUAGUUGGUGGGGUAAAGGCCUACCAAGUCGACGAUCAGUAGCCGAACUGAGAGGUUGAUCGGCCACAUUGGGACUGAGACACGGCCCAG
rnacentral:rRNA from 1 species